rnacentral:rRNA from 1 species
GGACGAACGCUGGCGGCGUGCUUAACACAUGCAAGUCGAACGGAAAGGCCCUGCUUUUGUGGGGUGCUCGAGUGGCGAACGGGUGAGUAACACGUGAGUAACCUGCCCUUGACUUUGGGAUAACUUCAGGAAACUGGGGCUAAUACCGGAUAGGAGCUCCUGCUGCAUGGUGGGGGUUGGAAAGUUUCGGCGGUUGGGGAUGGACUCGCGGCUUAUCAGCUUGUUGGUGGGGUAGUGGCUUACCAAGGCUUUGACGGGUAGCCGGCCUGAGAGGGUGACCGGCCACAUUGGGACUGAGAUACGGCCCAGACUCCUACGGGAGGCAGCAGUGGAGAAUAUUGCACAAUGGGCGGAAGCCUGAUGCAGCAACGCCGCGUGCGGGAUGACGGCCUUCGGGUUGUAAACCGCUUUCGCCUGUGACGAAGCGUGAGUGACGGUAAUGGGUAAAGAAGCACCGGCUAACUACGUG